rnacentral:rRNA from 1 species
AACGAACGCUGGCGGCAGGCCUAAUACAUGCAAGUCGAACGCCGUAGCAAUACGGAGUGGCAGACGGGUGAGUAACGCGUGGGAACCUUCCCAAUGGUACGGAAUAGCCCGGGGAAACCCGGAGUAAUACCGUAUAAGCCCGCAAGGGGAAAGAUUUAUCGCCAUUGGAUGGGCCCGCGUCGGAUUAGCUAGUUGGUGGGGUAACGGCCUACCAAGGCGACGAUCCGUAGCUGGUCUGAGAGGAUGAUCAGCCACACUGGGACUGAGACACGGCCCAGACUCCUACGGGAGGCAGCAGUAGGGAAUAUUGGACAAUGGGCGAAAGCCUGAUCCAGCCAUGCCGCGUGAGUGACGAAGGCCUUAGGGUUGUAAAGCUCUUUUACCCGGGAUGAUAAUGACAGUACCGGGAGAAUAAGCCCCGGCUAACUCCGUGCCAGCAGCCGCGGUAAUACGGAGGGGGCUAGCGUUGUUCGGAAUUACUGGGCGUAAAGCGCGCGUAGGCGGCUUUGUAAGUUAGAGGUGAAAGCCCGG